AGAUCUAAAAGUGUCUUCUGUUGAAACACAUCUGAUCUCUUCUGAAAGCUGAUUCCAGCUACAGGUUUAAAAGUGCCCACUGUUGAAACACAUCUGAUCUCAUCUGAAAGCUGAUUCCAGCUACAGAUCUAAAAGUGUCUUCUGUUGAAACACAUCUGAUCUCUUCUGAAAGCUGAUUCCAGCUACAGGUUCAUACUGUUGUAUUCUUUUAUACUGUUUUAUUUGUACUGUUUUAAAUCAUUCAGUAAAUGCAAAGUUAAACCGAUCAUACUGUUGUAUUCUUUUAUACUGUUUUAAAUCAUUCAGUAAAUGCAAA